GACUGAAAUCCAACCCUCUCCUUCCAUGACAGAUAAUUUCCAAGAGCUUUCUGCAAUUCCACACGCUUGAAAGGUCCAGGGGAAAGCCAAUGCUCAGGCGGGCCACGAUUUAAGAGAUAAACUUUCACUCUUUGUUGGAGCUCCUUACUGUCAAGUAAGUUAAUUACAAUGCGCAAAGCAUGUGGAUCAUCAUCACGGUCAAUA
rnacentral:misc_RNA from 1 species